GCUGGUCUUGAACUCCUGACCUCAGAUGAUCCACCGACUUCAGCCUCCCAAAUUGCUGGGAUUACAGGAGUGAUACAUUUUCACAGUCCACAUAAAUCACCACAGAAUCCUGAACAAUCUUUUUUCUUCCUUGUAUGUAUUGGAAGGGAAGGGUAGAGAAUCACCUUCGAAAAUUUAAUUAGCAAUGAAGAGCAGCCCACAGAACCAGAAAGCUUUUUGCAGUGAACUCCAUAGAGCAUUCAUUACUAAAUUUGUGUAUGCUUUAAAUUAGGGCUUCUAUACAAGCUACUUACUUAAUUUUCCUUUAUCUCCUGCUAAACAGAAGAGUGAAACCAACUUCUAGCACACACAAGUAUUUCCACACUACAAAGUAUUAUGAGGAGAAAAAAGCACAUAAUUCCACAUUCAUCCAAAGUGGCCAAGUACACCUGAUAUGUGUAAAGAAUCUCUUAAGUGGCUUUAUUUGUGCCGUUUGACCAAACUCCUGCAGAAACAGUAGAAAUAUAUCCUUCUCGAAUGCUACUGAAAAUUCCUUCUAUGUAUCUUGCAGACAUUUCUUCGAGAAACCUCACUGAAAGUGAGAACACAUGCAAAGUACCCUCAAUGAAGGACUGAAUCCAACGGGGUUUACAAGUUGAUGAGAAAGUGUGCAGAAAAGAGUGCCAACCAUAUGACACCGCACUUGACCACAGCUUAAGAGAAAAUAGGCAAUUAUAGAAUCAUAUGUUGUGAAAUAUGUAGUUUUAGAAAAGAUAAACAACAUAAAGUAUUUAACUUUGUUAAUAAUCACAAAUAAGAAAAUAACAUUAAAACAGUCUAAACUUGCUUCCUUAUGACAUCAUUAGCCACUCUCCAAAUUAUUAACAAAGAACAGAACAAUUUAUAAAAUUCUGAAAUAUAUGUGUAUGCAUAUUUUACAUAAAAUACAUAUAAAUUAUAUAUAUAUUUAUAUUAUAUAAAUAACCAUAUAUAGAGACUUUUUACAUUAUCAUCAAGUAAAAGCAAAAAUAAUACAAAACAUAAAAUAAUAUUGUAAAACUCUGUAGUAGACUUCAAUAAAAUGGAACAUAGGUAUCUUGAGAAUGUACUGGCUGGUGGGAGGUGGCGACUGAGGAAGAUGAAGAUCCAGUUUCAGACAUGAGACUUGUUGGGUGAUCAUUUCAUUGAGAUCAACCUGAAUGACCAGGUGUAAAGUGCAAGAGUAGUAUGCUAUGACUGAGGCAACUCAAAUUUUUUAAUUGCCAAUGUCUGUUUCUUUUGAUUCUACAAAAGAAACUAUGUUUCCGGUAGCCCUUAAACCUCAGGAUUCCAAUCAACCGUCAGAUAGACUCAUGACUGAAAAACAGCAGGAAGAAGCAGAAUGGGAAAGCGUAAAUGUGCUAUUGAUGAUGCAUGGCUUAAAACCUUUGUCUCUAGUCAAAAGAACCGAUCUCAAAGAUCUCAUCAUUUUUGACAAACAGUCAUCACAAAGGAUGAGACAGAAUUUGAAAUUGUUGGUGCAAGAAACCUCACGUCAACAGAACAUGAUACAGGAGCUUAUAGAAACUAAUCAGCAGCUUAGAAAUGAACUUCAGCUAGAGCACAGCCGAGCAACCAAUCAAGAACAACGAGCUAAUGACUUGGAAUAAAUUAUGGAGAGUGUGAAAUCCAAAACUGGUGAAUUGGAGGAUGAAUCACUAAAUAGGGCUUGCCAGCAACAGAAUAAAAUAAAAGAUCUUCAAAAGGAGCAGAAAACUUUAUAGGUGAAGUGCCAGCAUUAUAAGAAAAAACGAACUGAGCAACAAGAAACUAUUGCUUCUUUGCAAAUGGAAGUCCGUAGAUUAAGAAAGGAGGAAGAAGAUCGCAUUGUCACUCAAAACAGAGUGUUUGCCUGUCUGUGCAAAAGAGUUCCUCAUACCGUCUUGGAUAGACGGUAUGUAAUUUUGAUACAUAAAUUGAUAUGUAGCUAGAUUCAUGGUUUUGUUUGUUUGACCUGAUUUUAUCUUGGGAGUGGUUAUAACUCUUAUAAACUAGAAAAGCCUCUCUCUCCUCCUCUUCUGCAUUGUUUUUCCGUGCUCAUCCUGUUUUUGUUUGUUUGUUUGUUUGUUUGUUCUAGAGGUCCUUUGGGGAAUGGAAUUGAACAUUUACUAAAAAUAACACUAAACUUUUAAAUAAAUUCAUAAUUAAUCAGACAUUUCUCAAAAUAACUGAUCCUUUUAGUGAAGAAUAAUAUUUAGAGAUCACUGUAUGGGUUUUGGGGUUGCUUAGUUUUAUUAUGUUAUUGAUUUUAGGAGUUUUUAGUGGAAAGAACCAGGGACUAUAUAUUUUGGAGGGGACUAUAUAUAUUUAACCCAGCUGAAGUUAAGACAGUAUUUUUAUUUAAAUUCUGAUUUUACAUUUGUAACUGUUGUCUUUUCUACUGAAAAUCAUUCUUAAGAACAAUAUUAUAAUUAUUUGCUAUAUCUGAUAAUACAUAAAAAUAGUUUCAAAAUAUUAAAACUAGAAUUACUAACAAUAAGCCUACUGAAUGAAAUUUAAAUUUCUGGCAUUAGGAGAUAUAUCUCAUGUAAAUGAUGAGUUAAUGGGUGCAGCACACCAACAUG